UGAGGAAUAUUGGGCAAUGCCCGCAAGGGUGACCCAGCAACGCCGCGUGGAGGAUGAAUGUCGUAAGAUUGUAAACUCCUGUUAGAGGGGAAGAAUAGUACCGGUUGGACCGGUAUAUGACUGUACCCUCAGAGAAAGCCCCGGCUAACUACGUGCCAGCAGCCGCGGUAAUACGUAGGGGGCAAGCGUUGUCCGGAUUUACUGGGUGUAACGGGCGCGCAGGCGGGAUAAAAAGUCAGUGGUGAAAUCCUACAGCUUAACUGUAGAACUGCCUGUGAUACGUUUAUUCUUGAGUUCGGGAGAGAGAGACGGAAUUCCAGGUGUAGUGGUGAAAUACGUAGAUAUCUGGAAGAACACCCGGUGCGAAGGCGGUCUCUUGGUCCGACACUGACGCUGAGGCGCGAAAGCGUGGGGAGCAAACA
rnacentral:rRNA from 1 species